CGGGAAAGUCUUGCACGACCAGCUCCCUCUGAAGUCCCCCAGGACAGGAAUGUAGCAAGGGUAGGAGGUCGUAGCGGUGCGAUGCAAGGAGCUUUCCCU
rnacentral:SRP_RNA from 1 species